CCUACGGGAGGCAGCAGUGGGGAAUAUUGCACAAUGGGGGAAACCCUGAUGCAGCGACGCCGCGUGAGUGAAGAAGUAUUUCGGUAUGUAAAGCUCUAUCAGCAGGGAAGAAAAUGACGGUACCUCAUUAAGAAGCCCCGGCGAACUACGUGCCAGCAGCCGCGGUAAUACGUAGGGGGCAAGCGUUAUCCGGAUUUACUGGGUGGAAAGUGAGCGUAGACGGCAGCACAAGUCUGGAGGGAAAUGCCGGGGGUUAACCCCGGAACUGCUUUGGAAACUGUGCAGCUAGAGUGCAGGAGAGGUAAGUGGAAUUCCUAGUGAAGCGGUGAAAUGCGUAGAUAUUAGGAGGAACACCAGUGGCGAAGGCGGCUUACUGGACUGUAACUGACGUUGAGGCUCGAAAGCGUGGGGAGCAAACAGGAUUAGAUACCCGAGUAGUC
rnacentral:rRNA from 1 species